rnacentral:lncRNA from 1 species
UGUCAUCCAUAAGAUGUUGAAUUAAACUAAGAUCAUCAAACAUCACAGAUGCAGAUGUAAGAAGCCAAAAACUAGAAAAGCAAAUAUAAUCAAGCAUAAGAAAGCAAAUAUAAUCAAGCAUAAGAAAGCAAAUAUAAUCAAGCAUAAGAAAGCAAAUAUAAUCAAGCAUAAGAAAGCAAAUAUAAUCAAGCAUAAGAAAGCAAAUAUAAUCAAACAUAGCCAGUGCUCUCAGAAUAACAUGGAUCACUGUAUAAGACUAUGCAUGGAGAGCAAGACAAGUUCCAAAAAACAAGAAGAAGAAUGAGAUAAUCCCAAACCAGAUGUUAUAGACCAAUAAGUGAUACACAAAAAAUAGGGCAGGUUGCAUGUUUGAAACCAAUAUAAAAGCAAAUCUGGAUGAAUAAGCAUCUUAAAGUAAGCAUAUUAAAAAGAAAAUUGGAUAUUCCUGUAUCUGUUUCAACGUCAAAUGUCCACUUUCAACACACGUACAGAAAUAAGUGUGGCUUCUUUCAGCAGUGUACAUUGAUUGUUCCAUACCAGGAAGAGACGACCUAGAACAAGGGCCCAUAAAUUCCAGCUUUCAGAAGAAAAAAAAAUGUUUCUGCCCAACUAAAAAUAUCUAGCUACCAAAAAUAGAGUCUGGAUAUUGCUAUUGCAUUUCAUAUAAAAUAAUUAAAACUACCAUACCACCUAAAUAUGUCCUUGAAUUCAAAAAUAUGACCUUAUCCUUAUUUCCACACUUUUCUAUUUCGUAUUUUCCUCAUUUAGUUACCUUUCUCUUUUUCAAACUCUGAAUAUAACUACUACCAUACUGCAUGUUUCGGUAAUUAAGCAAAACACAAGCAUCUAAAAGUAGCCAUUCAUGACAAGAACCAGUAUCGUGUUGGCAUGACUGGAUAAUUAAUCACAAAAGGUAUCUCCAAUCUGCAGAGGUUUAAGCCAAGAAGUAUACUUCCAAUAACAAAAACAAGUUGAUCCGUAGCAAACAAAACUAGAUUUUAAGAUAUAUCAGACUAAAAACAAAAUCUACUCAUAUACAACCUCUUUCUUACCUAUACACCAAACACAAAACGAUUUUAAUCUAGUAUCUAAUUUUAUAUGAUUUUUAUUUUCUCUUCCAAUAGAACUACAGGUAAUCAAAACUUUCAGAUUGCACAAGUGUACAGCUUCUUGCUCCUUGUUAAGCAAAGGAUCAUGAUGAAAGAACCUAGUAACCUUGUAAACAACAGCAUUUUUGCAGCAUUAUGAUCCACAGAUUUCAUAACCAACGCUCAAUCGUACUGACAAACACUAGUAAACUCGAGAUACAGAGGCCAAUCGAGAAAACAAACGAGACUCAAAAA